UGGGGAAUUUUGCGCAAUGGGGGAAACCCUGACGCAGCAACGCCGCGUGGAGGAUGAAGUCCUUCGGGACGUAAACUCCUUUCGAUCGGGACGAUUAUGACGGUACCGGAAGAAGAAGCCCCGGCUAACUUCGUGCCAGCAGCCGCGGUAAUACGAGGGGGGCGAACGUUGUUCGGAAUUAUUGGGCGUAAAGGGUGCGUAGGCGGUUUUGUAAGUCUUAUGUGAAAUCUAUGGGCUCAACUCAUAGACUGCAUGAGAAACUGCAGGGCUCGAGUAUGGGAGAGGUGAGUGGAAUUCCUGGUGUAGCGGUGAAAUGCGUAGAUAUCAGGAGGAACACCUGUGGCGAAAGCGGCUCACUGGACCAUAACUGACGCUGAUGCACGAAAGCUAGGGGAGCAAACAGGAUUAGAUACCCUGGUAGUCCUAGCCCUAAACCAUGAUUGCUUGGUGUGACGGGUACCCAAUCCCGCCGUGCCGUAGCUAACGCGUUAAGCAAUCCGCCUGGGGAGUACGGUCGCAAGGCUG
rnacentral:rRNA from 1 species